AGAGUUUGAUCCUGGCUCAGGACGAACGCUGGCGGCGUGCUUAACACAUGCAAGUGGAGCGACGAACCGGGGCUUGCCCCGGGGCAGAGCCGCGAACGGGUGAGUAACACGUGGGUAACCACCCCGAUGACUGGGACAACCCGAGGAAACUCGGGCUAAUACCAGAUGUGCUCCUUGACCACCAGGUCACUGAGUAAAGAUAGCUUCGGCCUUCGCAUCGGGACGGGCCCGCGGCCCAUUAGCUUGUUGGUGGGGUAACGGCCUACCAAGGCGACGAUGGGGUAGCUGGUCUGAGAGGACGAUCAGCCACACUGGGACUGAGACACGGCCCAGACUCCUACGGGAGGCAGCAGUGGGGAAUCUUGCACAAUGCGCGAAAGCGUGAUGCAGCAACGCCGCGUGAGGGAAGACGGCCUUCGGGUUGUAAACCUCUUUCAGUUGGGACGAAGCUUCGUUCGUUAAUAGCGGACUGGAGUGACGGUACCUUCACAAGAAGCCCCGGCUAACUACGUG
rnacentral:rRNA from 1 species